rnacentral:rRNA from 1 species
GGAAAGCAGCAAUGCGCUCGAGGAGGAGUCCGCGGCCGAUUAGCUAGUUGGUAGGGUAAAAGCCUACCAAGGCUAUGAUCGGUAGCCGGCCUGAGAGGGCACACGGCCACACUGGCACUGAAACACGGGCCAGACUCCUACGGGAGGCAGCAGUGGGGAAUCUUGCACAAUGGGGGAAACCCUGAUGCAGCGACGCCGCGUGAGCGAUGAAGCCCUUCGGGGUGUAAAGCUCUUUCGGCAGGGAAGAUUAUGACGGUACCUGCAGAAGCAGCUGCGGCUAACUACGUGCCAGCAGCCGCGGUAAUACGUAGGCAGCAAGCGUUGUUCGGAGUUACUGGGCGUAAAGGGUGUGUAGGUGGCCUGUUAAGUUCCGUGUGAAAUCUCCCGGCUCAACCGGGAGGGUGCGCGGAAAACUGGCGGGCUAGAGUACGGGAUGGGAGAGUAGAAUUCCUGGUGUAGCGGUGAAAUGCGUAGAUAUCAGGAGGAAUACCGGUGGUGUAGACGGCUCUCUGGACCGUAACUGACACUGAGACACGAAAGCGUGGGUAGCAAACAGGAUUAGAUACCCUGGUAGUCCACGCCCUAAACGAUGCAUAUUUGGUGUAGGCAGUUCAUUCUGUCUGUGCCGGAGCUAACGCGUUAAAUAUGCCGCCUGGGGAGUACAGUCGCAAGACUGAAACUCAAAGGAAUUGACGGAAUCGAAUU